AAGUCGUAACAAGGUUUCCGUAGGUGAACCUGCGGAAGGAUCAUUACUAUCAAAAAAAGAAAGGCCACGGGGGCACGCUCUCCAGUAGGACAGCCAGUAGAUGUCCGGUUCUACUGGCUGGCAGCCGAACGGAAGGCACCAUCCUGUCAAAGGGACUGUCUUAGCUAGUAAGCUGAACGAGCUGCCUGUCUGAACCCUACCCUUGCUUUUUGCGCACCCAUUGUUUCCUCGGCAGGCUUGCCUGCCAGUAGGACCCCUUUAAAACCUUUUGUAAUUGCAAUCAGCGUCAGAAAUAACGUAAUCGUUACAACUUUCAACAACGGAUCUCUUGGUUCUG
rnacentral:misc_RNA from 1 species